CCUACGGGAGGCAGCAGUGAGGAAUAUUGGUCAAUGGCCGGAAGGCUGAACCAGCCAAGCCGCGUGAAGGACGAAGGUGCCAAGCAUUGUAAACUUCUUUUGUCAAGGGACAAAAUCAGGCUCGAGAGCCUGACCGAGGGUACUUGACGAAACAGCAUCAGCUAACUCCGUGCCAGCAGCCGCGGUAAUACGUAGGGGGCAAGCGUUAUCCGGAUUUACUGGGUGUAAAGGGAGCGUAGACGGUUCUGUAAGUCUGGAGUGAAAGCCCGGGGCCCAACCCCGGGACUGCUUUGGAAACUGUGGAACUGGAGUACAGGAGGGGCAGGCGGAAGUCCUGGUGUAGCGGUGAAAUGCGUAGAUAUCAGGAGGAACACCGGCGGCGAAGGCGGCCUGCUGGACUGAAACUGACGUUGAGGCUCGAAAGCGUGGGGAGCAAACAGGAUUAGAUACCCGUGUAGUC
rnacentral:rRNA from 1 species